UAGUCUGCCAUACGCAGGAAGACCCGCUGAACUGAAGCAUCUCAUUAAGCGGAGGAAAAGAAACUAACUAGGAUUCCCUUAGUAAAGGCGAUCGAAAAGGGAACAGCCCAACGUCUUAAUCCCGCAAGGGAAAUGUAGUCGGUUCACCUAUUGCACUGGUCUAAGUCAGAUGGAAUGCUGCGCGAUUCAGAGUAAAAGCCUCGUAUGACCAACCGCAAGCUUACGAUGGACCGGGGAGAGUCGGAUACUUUGAGAGUAGUGUCUUAAGGGGGUGGUAUGUCCCAUCCAAGGCUAAAUAACGUGAGGAGACCGAUAGAUUACAAGUAGUGUGAACGAAAGAUGAAAAGAACUCUAAAACAGAGGGUGAAAAGUUCCUGAACUUGCUUAGGGUUAAGGCUAUUUAUAGUACCCGUCUUGAAACACGGAUUAGGGAGUUUAUCUGUAGUGCGAGUCUUUGCACGUUAACUGUAAAGGCGUAGAGAAAGCAACUGGCGUUUUGCAUGGCUACUGAGCAUUACUGAUAGGACCCGAAAGGUGGUGAACUUUGCCUGCACAGGUUGAAGUCAGGGGAAACUCUGAUGGAGGACCGUACGGGUUAUUGAUGUGCAAAUCAUUUUUCUGAUGUAGGUAAAGGUGCGAAAGACUCAUCGAACCACCUAAUAGCUGGUUUCCUCCGAAGUUUCCCUCAGGAUAGCUGUAAUGCAUUUAGUUAAGGGGAGUAGAGAUAUGGGUAGAGGUGCAGGGAGCCUUCGGGUUCUCAACUUAUUUCCAAACUUCGAACCUCCUUGUUAGGCAUUUACCUAACUGGAAAUGCUUAAAUGAAUUAGCGUUACAAGUGGGCUCUGACCGGUAAGCGGUCAUGGCGAAAUGGGAUGAACCAUACGUCUGAAUAAGGUGCCGAAAUGUACUAUCACUGAUACCAUAAAGGGAGUCCAUGUAUUUAGACAGCAGGUCGGUGCCCCUAAAAGCAGGUAUCCGCUAAAGAGUGUGUUAAAACUCACCUGCCGAAUACUAGGGCCCCGAAAAUGAAUGGCGCAUAUAGUACUACCGAUCUCAGACAUCAGUUCUAUUGAACUGAGAGUAGGGGGAUGUGGACAUUUUUGUGAAGGUGCAAUGUGAGUUGGACUGGAAGAAUGUCUAUUACAGAUCCUAAUUGAAGUAGCGAUUAUCCAGGCUUGUAUCCUGGGGGCUGAUGAGGAGUAGGGUUUCUGGACAACUUAAACAGAUCCAGAGUUAGUCGAUCCUAAUCUCAAUAAUGGGAGAAAGGGAGUACAGUUGAUAUUCUGUAACUGACAACAGUUCGCGGCAACGCAUACUAUUUUUCUCCGCCAAUCUUAUACCGUUGGUAGGGAUCUCUUUCCUACAUGACAGUACUAAUACCCAGGGAAACUGGUCAUCAGGCGAACUGCGG
rnacentral:ncRNA from 1 species